rnacentral:rRNA from 1 species
UACGUAGGGGGCAAGCGUUGUCCGGAUUUAUUGGGCGUAAAGAGCGUGUAGGCGGCCGCACAGGUCCGUUGUGAAAACUGGAGGCUUAACCUUCAGACGUCGAUGGAAACCAUGCGGCUAGAGUCCGGAAGAGGAGAAUGGAAUUCCUGGUGUAGCGGUGAAAUGCGCAGAUAUCAGGAAGAACACCCGUGGCUAAGGCGGUUCUCUAGUACGGUACUGACGCUGAGACGCGAAAGCGUGGGGAGCGAACAGG